AUGGAUUCUAGGAGAAAUAAAAUUAUUAAGAUUAUCUUGCAAGAACAAGAAGAAGACGAUGAACUAUUUUUCCUUUUGGUUCCCGCUUUAUAUGCUUCCCUUUAUGAGGAAAAGCAUCCAGUUCACACAUCAUCUUUAUCUGGGGCUACAAAGGUUAAGGAAAUAUUAGAAGGCCACGAGAGUUGGUCUAGGGUUGAGUUUCGGAUGGAACCUGAGAUUUUCAAGUCUAUCGUGGAUUACCUUAGAAGAGAGAAUCUAUUGAAAGGCACGUCGUGUGUUGCUAUCGAGGAGCAGUUGGCAAUGUUCAUGUACAUGAUUUCGCACAAUGCUAGUAAUCAAGAUCUACAAAAAUACUUCCAACACAGCGCAGAAACAAUUCAUAGGAAGAUAAACAGGAUUUUUGACUUAAUUCCAACUCUAGCCCAAAGAUUUAUAAAGAUUCCAAGUUCACUCCAGCCCCACCCGAAGAUUGUUUCGAACAACCGCUAUUGGCCAUAUUUCCAGGUGAACCACUACACACACAUCUCCAUAUCAAUGGAAUUUUUGAAACUUCUCCACAUAGAUUUCUAA
rnacentral:rRNA from 1 species